CCUUCCCCCCCCCCCCCCCCCCCCCACAUCCGUGCCUCACUACUGCCGCGCUUUCCCCCACUGCGGGUUCCCCUCGCGCGCGUUCGCGCUUCACCACCGCCGUGCCUUCCCCGCUGCCUCCUCAACUCCUCGCCGCCACCGGUUCCCUACUCCGUCUGCAACCGCCACCAUCGGAGCCGUGGAUCCAUCGCUGCCUUCAACUCCACUUGCGAUCCGGCGUGACGACAGGAGUGCAGCUGCGACUACUGGGCUUCCAUGGUUCUGCUCAAGAUUAAGCCAGUUGGGGAUUUUACUUUAAUAGGGGAACCCGGUCUAGCUCACCCACCCAACGAAUUUUAGACUAACGCCUAGAGGCCACGUUGUUAGCAAUGACAGUGGCCGUUGGGGGUUAAUUAGCACCGCCAGCUUGUGGGGAUCAAAGAGUACCAGUGGCAGCCUGCAACCAACAGGAUGUCGCCAGAGAAUGAACUGAAGCUGCAGCCAACCAUGUCCUAGAAAAUAGUAACUCUCUUAUCAAAUGUUGUUUUGGAUGGAUAAAUUGUGAUUUAUUGUUUGGUAGGGACUGCGGUGGAGUUACAAAUUAUGAGAAUGAGCUAUAAGAGAAGGGGUAAGAAUGGAAUAUAGUAAUAGGUGAUCAACACCAGGUGAAUUAGUGAACUUGUAUAUUUUUGCUAUCCAACCCAGUUCAAUUUCAUCUAGAGGGAUUAUUGCUUUCCAGUACAUGCUUCUGAUUUUUCUGUAACCAAAGUCAGCUCCUUGGUUUCCAGGGAAAAGAAAGUGAGCUCCUUGGUCAGAGAGGUAACAAACAAAAUGCUCAUAUCCUAGGCUAGGCUCUCCACCGCCUCCACUCAGUGGUAGCACUGACUCAAAGCAUGUUUUGUACGUGGGAAAUGAUACAACUGAGAGAUAGAUGAAGGAGAAGACGGCACCAGUACCUAAUUUGCUGAAAGAAGCAAAUCAUCCGUGAGUACCUAAUAGCCUGUGAAAUAUAAUCUUCUUUACACAACUUAACUUAUAUAAUAUUGGAUGAUUUUUUAAAUCUAGGAGGAGCUACCUCCCAAUUCUAGAUACAAAGACGUGAAAACUUUUGUGUAUUCUCAAGAAAAAAGUCUAAGAGGGACUAUAGUAAAGAAACUGGCGAAGUUAUAGAGAUUUGAUUAUUGUCGUACUGUAGACUUCCCCUGUCAUUUUAGACAUCUUGCACAUUGAAACAGUUAACAAUGUAUGAUGCCUUGCUCACUAGCUUUUUUCUGAAAUAUGCAAAUAAUAGUACAUUGUCAAUAUAAAAUUCAACCUGGUAUUAUUACUUGAUUCCCAGAGGAAAUUCCAAGCUAAAAAGAGCAGAGUAGGAUAUUCAUUCUAAAGGUGAACGCUAGCAAUGUGAAUCAUCUGAGAUUGAGAAGGUCAUUACUUAUAGAAAUAUUUUUAUAAAAGUUUGUAUGCAUGGAUUGUUCUAGAUGUUUUGUUUCGUAGAUCUGUACAAUUUUUACCAAUAGACAUUGUUAGUUACCUCAUGUGCUUCUUGUUGAUGCAAAUUUUGUUUUUCUCCUCCCACCGCUUGGCCCAGCCCACAUAUGUGACUGACUGUGUCACAGUCCCUGUAUAUCUUUGUCAUUGUUACUACUAAAGACAUGUGGAGACCGUUAUGGACUAAAAAUACUGCAUACUUUAGUUUCAGGAUGAGGCCAUUCUAAUAUUUCUGCUGCUACAAGCCCCUAUAGUCCUAUACUUCUAUGCACCAUCACUUGAUACUUUGGACAUCAUUAUAAGCAAUGGUAUUGCAUGUAGAGUAUUAUAUUGAUAUUACUGGAUAUCAUGCUUUCAUACACAUGACAAAUUCAGAUUUAUGCAGUGAUAAUAUUUUCCUUGAACAUUUUAAGUUUAGUUCUAUACACAUAAUUCAUGAUAACUGAAUAUGUAAAACGUUUUUCCUACAGUUCAAACAUGCAAUUGCUUGUGUACAAAGGAUUUGUCUUUCAGUUUUCAUUAAUAGGAACCCCUGAAUUGAAGAAACGGCUCUGGAGUGCUUAUGUUCUUCCCCUGUUGGAGCUGGUUCUUCCUUAGGCCUGUAGCAAUGAUCCACUUCAUUGCCACAUAUUCAAACACCAUGUACUCAUGAGAUGAUAUGGAACUGUGACUUCCCCUCUGGUCCUGAGGCCUGAUUGUUGCAGGUGAAGUAGGAGUUAUGGCUUCAAUCCAUUUCACCUGUUAAGACUGAAGAGCAUUGUAAUGGACUGAGUAUAGACAACAUGUCUCAAGAUUAUUGAAGUGGACGGAAUGUAGACCACAUGUCUAAAGAUAAUUGAAGCAGAGAACGAUUUGUUUAGACAGGAGAGCACUGUAAAUGUUGCUGCUCUCCAAAUUCCUUCUGUGCUCAAACCAGGCUGCUUUAGAGCUUCAACUAGCUCAUUCAUUCAAGACGUCGCCUCUCACAUCUACCUCAACUGAAAAAUGACAAAAAAUUGCUACAAUUUGUAAACAGAUUUGCGUACUUCAGUACCAUCAGCGUGACAGAUGUCACUGUGCCUGUAUUCUUCCUUUUGGCUCACAACUUCAUCACUAUAACUGCAACCUUUUCUUGCAGAACGAUCAUAUUAUCACAGCAACCUAAUGAUGUUGUUAGCAACCAUCCAAUUUAGCAACCUAAUGAUGCUGUUAGUAAUUAUCUAA